AUCGUUCAUCUCUUUUUCUCGGUCAACCUGGUUUAACUGGAUCUUUUUGAUUGGUUUUCAGCCGGGCGAGAGAGACGGAAGUAGGGACUCUUCCCGAAGGAACGCGCC
rnacentral:ncRNA from 2 species